UGGUGAAAGUAUCUAAACAAACAUCUCAAUAACCCGCGUGGUGUAAUUGUCAUAUUGUUAAGCAUUUCCUCACUGACAUACUCCACAUUUAGCCUCUAAUCUUCGAAGUGGAUGUCAAAGCAGUUUCCGACAUCUUUAGAGAGCACGUCCUGCAGGUAAGCAAAAAUGUGAAGCUGGAGAAAGAGCUUGCUUUUGGGCUGAAAAUGAGACUUUCAGGUUUGGCUUCGAGUGGCAGAAAGGCUAGAGUAGCAGGAUUUACACUUGGCUGUGCAGUUUGGCAUUAUUAUGACCUUGUUCAAACGCAUUCUGGUGCCACGAGGAAGGUAUAAAAUUAGAUUAAACCUCCCAACCACCCACCAAAUCCCGUUCAGAGCCUCGGCUCUGGACUCUGGUGUGUUUAAAUCACUGACACUUCAGAACAAAACUCUUUCACCCUUCACCUCUCUGGUGAGGAUUUUUCUGUUUGGUUACACUAAUAAUUUAAUUUCUAUUUGCCCUUCCAAGUGGGCAAAUCAGCCUCCUUCCAACACGGGUAGGGGCUGUUAUUUUUAGCUCGUUCACUGGAACAAAAUGUUCCAACACUCCCUGCUUUGAAUCUCACUGCGGUUUGACUACUCUUUGAUAUUUAAGACAGUCGGUUUUCCUUGUCAAACUACCUGUUAUAGGAAAUGGCUCCCUUGGCCUGGCAAAUCACUCUCAACAAAGUAGACAGGCGCAUUUGCCUAAGUAAAGAAACGUUUCUAAAAUGUUGCAGGGAAAUACCCGAAAUAUUAAACUGGUAAAUGUACUGUAGGUGCUACCUUUAUGAUGACCUUAACGGUGUGCCCAGCUAUCAAAAUAAGUAAGAAAUUAUCAAAAUAUAGCCAUGCAUUCUUGUCCUCUCGAUAAAUACAUUUUGUCGACACUUGCUGAGCAGUUUUGGGGCGUCCCAUAUGCACUUCAUAAACAGCACUAAAAAUGCGGGUCCAAAUCAAAUAUAAUUUUAAUAGCCCUUCUUCCCCUUACCUGCUGCAGUUCUGCAGCUACUGUUUCUGUAACAGAGUACUUUAAAGUACGUUUAAAUGUUGUCGUCGUCGUCCCCUCUUCCACUACGUUGUCCGGGAGCUUCCAGCUGAUACUAUUACCGUGUCCAUUUAAAAAACGUGUCUCCCUGUGUUUAGCUACAAGCUGUCCAACAUCAAUACAAGUAGCACUAUGAAGGAACACAACAAAAUAGGUGUGAAGGGAAAGGGGGAAAUCCACUUUUGCCAAGCGAUGUCCCAAAGAGUGAAUGACAUUAAUUCAGACUUCAAAAAGCUAGCGCCCUUGAGAUUCUGAUGCCAUACGCAUUUAUAAGUAUGCAUAGGUACAGUCUGGGGUGAAGAAAUAGUAACAGGAGUUUUAAACUUCAUGGCUGUAGAUUUGGAAAGUUCUCAUAACACUGGCGCCUGGACACCUGCACACAUUAGCAAAAACACUGCAUAGAAUUAAGUGCCUGAUCACUGCGGUCUUCUUCACAGGGUUUUCUGUUACCUCCAAGAGCGUCUUCAUGUACAAAGCCCUCCGUGGCCAGUGGCCAGCGACUUAAAUGAAGUCAAGUCCCUACUGUGUCCUAAGUAAGACUACUAUCAAUGCCUUGGGAAAGCAAGGAGGGUCAAGGAGGAUUGAGCUAAGGAGUACUUAAGCAAGUGGGACAUACACAAGUCCAUGGGGCCAGACAGAAUGCAUCUCAGAAUGUUGUGGGAGCUGGCUGGUGUCCCUGUGAGACAUUCUGUACCAUAUUCAAAGCGUCAUGGUGUUUUGGAGAGGUUUCUGAUGACUUGAAGCAGGUAAAGGACACACAGCCUUGUUCAUAAAAGGCAAGAAGGUGGGUCUAGGGAACAUCAGGCCGGUCAGCCCCACCUCGUUCUCUGGUAAGAUUAUGAUGCGAAGCCUCCUGGAAGCCAUGUCUAUGUGAAUGAAGGAGAAUAAAGUGAUUUGGGGCAUGGAUUCAGCAAGGGCAAAUCAUA